UACGUAGGGAGCAAGCGUUGUCCGGAAUCAUUGGGCGUAAAGCGCGCGUAGGCGGCCCUGUAAGUCCGUUGUGAAAGUCAAAGGCUCAACCUUUGAAAGCCGAUGGAUACUGCAGGGCUAGAGCUCGGAAGAGGCGAGUGGAAUUCCUGGUGUAGCGGUGGAAUGCGCAGAUAUCAGGAGGAACACCAAUAGCGAAGGCAGCUCGCUGGGACGAUACUGACGCUAAGGCGCGAAAGCGUGGGGAGCGAACAGG
rnacentral:rRNA from 1 species